rnacentral:rRNA from 1 species
AUUGAACGCUGGCGGCAUGCCUUACACAUGCAAGUCGAACGGCAGCGCGGGGCAACCUGGCGGCGAGUGGCGAACGGGUGAGUAAUAUAUCGGAACAUACCCUAGAGUGGGGGAUAACGUAGCGAAAGUUACGCUAAUACCGCAUACGCACUAAGGUGGAAAGUGGGGGAUUCGCAAGAACCUCAUGCUCAUGGAGUGGCCGAUAUCUGAUUAGCUAGUUGGUGAGGUAAAGGCUCACCAAGGCGACGAUCAGUAGCUGGUUUGAGAGAACGACCAGCCACACUGGAACUGAGACACGGUCCAGACUCCUACGGGAGGCAGCAGUGGGGAAUUUUGGGACAAUGGGGGCAACCCUGAUCCAGCAAUGCCGCGUGAGUGAAGAAGGCC